rnacentral:rRNA from 1 species
UACAGAGGGUGCAAGCGUUAAUCGGAAUUACUGGGCGUAAAGCGCGCGUAGGUGGUUUGUUAAGUUGAAUGUGAAAUCCCCGGGCUCAACCUGGGAACUGCAUGCAAAACUGGCAAGCUAGAGUAUGGUAGAGGGUGGUGGAAUUUCCUGUGUAGCGGUGAAAUGCGUAGAUAAUAGGAAGGAACACCAGUGGCGAAGGCGACCACCUGGACUGAAUACUGACCGCUGAGGCACGAAAGCGUGGGGAGCAAACAGG